rfam:Filimonas lacunae strain DSM 21054 genome assembly, contig: Ga0111651_103
CAUGGGCAAGCCGAAAACCAUUCAAGAGAGUAGGCA